rnacentral:rRNA from 1 species
AGAGUUUGAUCCUGGCUCAGGAUGAACGCUGGCGGCGUGCCUAAUACAUGCAAGUCGAGCAAACAGAUAAGGAGCUUGCUCCUUUGACGUUAGCGGCGGACGGGUGAGUAGCACGUGGGUAACCUACCUAUAAGACUGGAAUAACUCCGGGAAACCGGGGCUAAUGCCGGAUAACAUGUUGAACCGCAUGGUUCUACAGUGAAAGACGGUCUUGCUGUCACUUAUAGAUGGACCCGCGCCGUAUUAGCUAGUUGGUGGGGUAACGGCCUACCAAGGCGACGAUACGUAGCCGACCUGAGAGGGUGAUCGGCCACACUGGAACUGAGACACGGUCCAGACUCCUACGGGAGGCAGCAGUAGGGAAUCUUCCGCAAUGGGCGAAAGCCUGACGGAGCAACGCCGCGUGAGUGAUGAAGGUCUUCGGAUCGUAAAGCUCUGUUGUUAGGGAAGAACAAAUGUGUAAGUAACUGUGCACAUCUUGACGGUACCUAACCAGAAAGCCACGGCUAACUACGUGCCAGCAGCCGCGGUAAUACGUAGGUGGCAAGCGUUAUCCGGAAUUAUUGGGCGUAAAGCGCGCGUAGGCGGUUUUUUAAGUCUGAUGUGAAAGCCCACGGCUCAACCGUGGAGGGUCAUUGGAAACUGGAAAACUUGAGUGCAGAAGAGGAAAGUGGAAUUCCAUGUGUAGCGGUGAAAUGCGCAGAGAUAUGGAGGAACACCAGUGGCGAAGGCGGCUUUCUGGUCUGCAACUGACGCUGAUGUGCGAAAGCGUGGGGAUCAAACAGGAUUAGAUACCCUAGUAGUCC